rnacentral:rRNA from 1 species
GUGAGGAAUAUUGCGCAAUGGGCGAAAGCCUGACGCAGCGACGCCGCGUGGGGGAAGAAGGUUCUCGGAUUGUAAACCCCUUUUAGGAGGAAAGAUGGGGUGGGAAACCACCCGGACGGUACCUCCAGAAAAAGCCACGGCUAACUUCGUGCCAGCAGCCGCGGUAAUACGAAGGUGGCGAGCGUUGUUCGGAUUUACUGGGCGUAAAGAGCACGUAGGCGGUUUGGUAAGCCCCUUGGGAAAGCUCCGGGCUUAACCCGGAAAGGUCGGGGGGGACUGCCAAGCUAGAGGGCGGGAGAGGAGCGCGGAAUUCCCGGUGUAGCGGUGAAAUGCGUAGAUAUCGGGAAGAAGGCCGGUGGCGAAGGCGGCGCUCUGGAACGCAUCUGACGCUGAGGUGCGAAAGCGUGGGGAGCAAACAGG